rnacentral:rRNA from 1 species
GACGAACGCUGGCGGCGUGCCUAAUACAUGCAAGUAGAACGCAGUUGCGAACGGGUGAGUAACGCGUAGGUAACUGCCUCAUAGCGGGGGAUAACUAUUGGAACCGAUAGCUAAUCCCGCAUACUGUGAGAUGGACCUGCGUUGUAUUAGCUAGUUGGUGAGGUAAAGGCUCACCAAGGCGACGCUACAUAGCCGACCUGACAGGGGGAUCGGGCACACUGGGACUGGGACACGGGCCAGAAUACUACGGGAGGCAGCAGUAGGGAAUCUUGGGAAAUGGACGGAAGUCUGACCAAGCAACGCCGCGGGAGGGAAGAAGGUUUUCGGAGCGUAAAGCUCUGUUGUGAGAGAAGCGGUAACUAACGAGAAAGGGACGGCUAACUACGUGCCAGCAGCCGCGGUAAUUC